rnacentral:rRNA from 1 species
CCCGGUAGCUAAAUGCGGAAGAGAUAAGUGCUGAAAGCAUCUAAGCACGAAACUUGCCCCGAGAUGAGUUCUCCCUGAGACUAUAAGUCUCCUGAAGGAACGUUAAAGACGAUGACGUUGAUAGGUCGGGUGUGUAAGUGUAGCGAUACAUUGAGCUAACCGAUACUAAUGAACCGUGAGGCUUAACCUUACAACGCCGAAG